AGCGAACGCUGGCGGCAGGCCUAACACAUGCAAGUCGAACGAAGUCUUCGGACUUAGUGGCGGACGGGUGAGUAACACGUGGGAACGUGCCUUUAGGUUCGGAAUAACUCAGGGAAACUUGUGCUAGUACCGAAUGUGCCCUUCGGGGGAAAGAUUUAUCGCCUUUAGAGCGGCCCGCGUCUGAUUAGCUAGUUGGUGAGGUAAAGGCUCACCAAGGCUACGAUUAGUAGCUGGUCUGAGAGGAUGACCAGCCACAUUGGGACUGAGACACGGCCCAAACUCCUACGGGAGGCAGCAGUGGGGAAUCUUGCGCAAUGGGCGAAAGCCUGACGCAGCCAUGCCGCGUGGAUGAUGAAGGUCUUAGGAUUGUAAAAUCCUUUCACCGGUGAAGAUAAUGACUGUAGCCGGAGAAGAAGCCCCGGCUAACUUCGUGCCAGCAGCCGCCGUAAUAC
rnacentral:rRNA from 1 species